rnacentral:tRNA from 1 species
AGGGGUAUAGCUCAGUGGUGGAGAGCAUGCUUAGCAUGCACAAAGUCUUGGGUUCAAUCCCCAGUACCGCUU